GUGGGGAAUAUUGGACAAUGGGCGCAAGCCUGAUCCAGCCAUGCCGCGUGAGUGAUGAAGGCCUUAGGGUUGUAAAGCUCUUUCAGUGGGGACGAUAAUGACGGUACCCACAGAAGAAGCCCCGGCUAACUUCGUGCCAGCAGCCGCGGUAAUACGAAGGGGGCUAGCGUUGUUCGGAUUUACUGGGCGUAAAGCGCACGUAGGCGGAUCGUUAAGUCGGGGGUGAAAUCCUGGAGCUCAACUCCAGAACUGCCUUCGAUACUGGCGAUCUUGAGUCCGGAAGAGGUGAGUGGAACUCCUAGUGUAGAGGUGGAAUUCGUAGAUAUUAGGAAGAACACCAGUGGCGAAGGCGGCUAACUGGUCCGGUACUGACGCUGAGGUGCGAAAGCGUGGGGAGCAAACAGGAUUAGAAACCCUAGUAGUCC
rnacentral:rRNA from 1 species